rnacentral:misc_RNA from 1 species
AAGUCGUAACAAGGUUUCCGUAGGUGAACCUGCGGAAGGAUCAUUAACACGUAUCCACGUCACCUGUUGACAUACACCAAACCUAUUGUUUAUAUAGUAUUUGGAACUGGUCGCUAUGCACUCGUUUGCAUAGAUGUACUGGAACCGGUACUCGUGCACUAUAUUUUUUUUUCCCAUUCCCUCAUAUAACUACGCCUUGACUCAAUUGUAGUAGGUCUGGUCUUCGUGACUGGUCUAGUACACGUUUGCUUCUGUUUUUUCGAAAACGGAUUCAAAUGCCUAAUCAAAUGGACUGAUGCAAAGCAUCUGAUAUAUGAACUUGUUUCAUGUAUUAGAAUGUGAUGACAUUUGUAUAUAUUCAAUAUAUAUGAUCUAAUCACAACUCUUAGCAAUGGAUACCUAGGUUCUC